GACGUAGGGCGCGAGCGUUGUCCGGAUUUAUUGGGCGUAAAGAGCUCGUAGGCGGCUUGUCGCGUCGGAUGUGAAAGCCCGGGGCUUAACUCCGGGUCUGCAUUCGAUACGGGCAGGCUAGAGUUCGGUAGGGGAGAUCGGAAUUCCUGGUGUAGCGGUGAAAUGCGCAGAUAUCAGGAGGAACACCGGUGGCGAAGGCGGAUCUCUGGGCCGAUACUGACGCUGAGGAGCGAAAGCGUGGGGAGCGAUCAGG
rnacentral:rRNA from 1 species